rnacentral:rRNA from 1 species
UACGUAGGAGGCAAGCGUUGUCCGGAAUCACUGGGCGUAAAGCGCGUGUAGGCGGAUCGCUAAGUCUGUGGUGAAAGCGCCUGGCUUAACCGGGCGAGGUCCAUGGAAACUAGCGGUCUGGAGGCCGGUAGAGGGGGGUGGAAUUCCGGGUGUAGUGGUGAAAUGCGUAGAGAUCCGGAGGAACACCAGUGGCGAAGGCGGCCCCCUGGGCCGCGCCUGACGCUGAUCCGCGACAGCAUGGGGAGCGAACGGG